rnacentral:lncRNA from 1 species
CAAGUCAAAGAAAUAGUUCAGGGUUUCAAUAUACACGUUGCCCCUGUUGAAUAGCCUUUUAGUUGGGUUAGUACCAAAAAUCGUUGUUUAGCUCGGUUAGGUGAGAUAGUCCGAGUAAAGGUAGUUAGACUCGCUUCCUGAAUAAAAAAAAGUAUUGCCUUAGACCCAAAAGCAAAAGCCAAGCCAGGAAAGUCAUCAGCCUUAAGUAAAAUAGGUCUAGUCAAUUUUACACAUGGGUGGAACGAAAAGUCUCAUGAUUGGAACGAUCGGUCGAUCGAUAUCGUAUGGAAAGAGGAACAAGAGAAGAACGAAGCCCUACAUCGGUGUCUGUCGGGGUAUUGAGAAUGUGGUAUUGCUUCACGCGGUCUCAGUCUCAGUAGGACAAGGAGUACCUUGCUUCGAUAUGAGUUGAGAAGUAUCCGGGGAAGUCCCCUAUAAGGCUAGUCCCGUUUCACUCUUCUCUCAAUGUCAGUGCUUGGGGAUCGGGUACAGCGAGAUCAUUUUUCAGCUUGUUAGUCUGCUAUGCAUGAAAGCAAGGAGGAGAGAAGCUCUCUUUCUUCUUCGAGAAUCCAGUAUGUGAGAUAUUUUUAUACAAGGUCUCACAUGUAGAGAUGCCCUACCCAUAAAGGAAGGAGUUGGUAGUAGACAAAUCAUUC